rnacentral:tRNA from 2 species
GGCGAGGGCAAUGCUUUCAGCUACAAUAAAAUCAACCGGUUACGUUUGCUGGUAGCACUCAUAAUGCUGGGGUCGGCGGUUCGACUCCGCCCCUUGCUACCA